GUCCUUUUGUUUUUUUAUUUAAGGUCUGACCUGCUCACUGAUUUCUUUAAGAGCCGCGGUAUUUUGACCGUGCAAAGGUAGCAUAAUAAUUAGUUUUUUUAUUGAGAACUGGUAUGAAUGGUUGGACGAGAAAAAUUCUGUCUCUUUACUAAUUUUUUGAAUUUUACUUUUAAGUUAAAAGGCUUAAAUUUUUUUAAAAGACGAGAAGACCCUAUAGAGUUUUAUUUAUUAUCUUUAUUUUAUUUUGGCAUUAUUAUUUUUAUAGGUUAAAUAAAUUUUGUUGGGGUGACUGUAAAAUUUAAUUAACUUUUAUUUUAUAAGAACAAAAAUAUUUGAUUUUUUGAUCCGUUAUGCGAUUAAAAGAAAAAUUACCUUAGGG
rnacentral:rRNA from 1 species